CGUAUUAUAUUUCUAUAUAAUAAGUAGCGAACGGGUGAGGAAUAUAUAAAUAUUUACUUUAUAAUUUGGAAUAAAAUACCAAAUAAUAAUAUAUUUUUUUUUAUGUUAUAAGCAUAGCAUAAAGGUAUAUUAUAAAGAUUUAUCGUUAUAAAAUAAUUUUAUAUAAGAUUAGGUAGUUGGAGAGGUAAAAGCUUUCCAAGCCAAUGAUCUUUAAUUGGUCUGAAAGGAUGUACAAUCACAUUGGGACUGAGAUACGGCCCAAGUUCUAUAAAGAAACAGCAGUGAGGAAUAUUAGACAAUGAGCGAAAGCUUGAUCUAGCGACACCCAGUUAGUGACAUAAGUAAGAAGAAGGCCAUUAAUUUGGUUGUAAAGCUAUUCUAUUAAAAAGGAUAAUGACAGUAUUUAAAAAAAGAAGUCCCGGCUAACUUCGUGCCAGCAGCCGCGGUAAUACGAAGGGGACAAGUGUUAUUCGGAGUAAUUUGGCGUAAAGGGUUUGAAGAUUGUUUGGUUUAAAAUUUUUAAUGAAAUCUUGAAUAAUUACUAUUAAUCUUAAGAAGUAUUUUAAAUGCAACUAAACUUGAGAAUAUUGGACGAUAGAAGAAUUUUAAGUGUAGAGAUAAAAUGUUAUGAUAUUUAAAAGAAAACCAACAGCGAAGGCAUCUAUCGAUGUUAUUUCUGACAUUGUAAAACGAAAGUAUAGGUAGCGAAUAGGAUUAGAGACCCUAGUAGUCUAUACUGUAAACGCUGAAUGUUAAAUAUUAGAUUAAAUUAAUUUAGUAUUAAAGUUAACACGUUAAACAUUCCGCCUGAGGAUUACGGUCGCAAGAUUAAAACUCAAAGGAAUUGGCGGGAAUCUGCACAAGCGGUGGGGCAUGUUGUUUAAUUCGAUAAUCCGCGAGAAACCUUACCAACUCUUGACAUACUAUACAGGUGUUGCAUGGCUGUCUUAAGUUCGUGUUGUGAAAUGUGAGAUUAAUUUCUGUAACGGACGAAACCCUUAUUUUUAAUUGCUAAUAAUUAAAUAAAUUAAUUAUGCACUUUAGAAAGACUGCCAUAUAACUAAUAGUAAACUGGAGGAAGGUGAGGAUAACGUCAAGUCUUUAUGGCCUUUAUGAGUUGGGCUACAGACGUGCUACAAUGGUAAUUACAAAUAGAUGCAAAAAUGUAAGUUUUAGCUAAUCUUUAAAAAUUAUCUAAGUUCGGAUUGUAGACUGAAAUUCGUCUACAUGAAGUUGGAAUCGCUAGUAAUCAUAAAAUAGAUCGUUAUGGUGAAUAUGUUCUCAGAUUUUGCACAUACUGCCCGUCACACCAUGGGAGUUAGUAAGCUUAAAGUAUAAUAUUUUGUUAUAAUCAGGAAUAA
rnacentral:rRNA from 1 species